rnacentral:tRNA from 2 species
GGGAUCGUAGUUCAAUUGGUUAGAGCAUCGCCCUGUCACGGCGAAAGUUGCGGGUUCGAGUCCCGUCGUUCCCG